rnacentral:rRNA from 1 species
AGGACGAACGCUGGCGGCGUGCUUAACACAUGCAAGUCGAGCGGAAAGGCCCUUCGGGGUACUCGAGCGGCGAACGGGUGAGUAACACGUGAGUAAUCUGCCCCUAGCUCUGGGAUAGCUCCGGGAAACCGGGAUUAAUACCAGAUACGACCACUUUAGACAUCUUCUGUGGUGGAAAGAACUUCGGCUAGGGAUGAACUCGCGGCCUAUCAGCUUGUUGGUGAGGUAACGGCUCACCAAGGCGACG